rnacentral:tRNA from 1 species
ACGGGUAUAGUAUAGUGGUUAGUAUAGCUCGUUCCCACGUGGAUCUACGAGUUGACGUGAGUUCGAACCUCGCUACCCGUA